GGGUUGUGAGGUUAAGCGAAUAAGCGUACACGGUGGAUGCCCUGGCAGUCAGAGGCGAUGAAGGACGUGCUAAUCUGCGAAAAGCGUCGGUAAGGUGAUAUGAACCGUUAUAGCCGACGAUAUCCGAAUGGGGAAACCCAGUGUGUUUCGACACACUAUCGCAACAUGAAUACAUAGUGUUGCGAGGCGAACCGAGGGAACUGAAACAUCUAAGUACCUCGAGGAAAAGAAAUCAACCGAGAUUCCCCUAGUAGCGGCGAGCGAACGGGGAGGAGCCCAGAGUCUGCAUCAGUCAGUGUGUUAAUGGAACGGUCUGGAAAGUCCGGCGAUACAGGGUGAUAGCCCCGUACAUGAAAAUGCACUGAUUGUGAGCUCGAAGAGUAGGGCGGGACACGUGGUAUCCUGUCUGAAUAUGGGGGGACCAUCCUCCAAGGCUAAAUACUCCUGACUGACCGAUAGUGAACCAGUACCGUGAGGGAAAGGCGAAAAGAACCCCGGCGAGGGGAGUGAAAUAGAACCUGAAACCGUGUACGUACAAGCAGUGGGAGCACGCCUUGAGCGUGUGACUGCGUACCUUUUGUAUAAUGGGUCAGCGACUUAUAUUUUGUAGCAAGGUUAACCGUAUAGGGGAGCCGCAGGGAAACCGAGUCUUAACUGGGCGUUAAGUUGCAAGGUAUAGACCCGAAACCCGGUGAUCUAGCCAUGGGCAGGUUGAAGGUUGGGUAACACUAACUGGAGGACCGAACCGACUAAUGUUGAAAAAUUAGCGGAUGACUUGUGGCUGGGGGUGAAAGGCCAAUCAAACCGGGAGAUAGCUGGUUCUCCCCGAAAGCUAUUUAGGUAGCGCCUCGUGAACUCAUCUUCGGGGGUAGAGCACUGUUUCGGCUAGGGGGCCAUCCCGGCUUACCAACCCGAUGCAAACUACGAAUACCGAAGAAUGUUAUCACGGGAGACACACGGCGGGUGCUAACGUCCGUCGUGAAGAGGGAAACAACCCAGACCGCCAGCUAAGGUCCCAAAGUCAUAGUUAAGUGGGAAACGAUGUGGGAAGGCUCAGACAGCCAGGAUGUUGGCUUAGAAGCAGCCAUCAUUUAAAGAAAGCGUAAUAGCUCACUGGUCGAGUCGGCCUGCGCGGAAGAUGUAACGGGGCUAAACUAUGCACCGAAGCUGCGGCAGCGAUACUAUGUAUUGUUGGGUAGGGGAGCGUUCUGUAAGCCGUUGAAGGUGGACUGUGAGGUCUGCUGGAGGUAUCAGAAGUGCGAAUGCUGACAUAAGUAACGAUAAAGCGGGUGAAAAACCCGCUCGCCGGAAGAUCAAGGGUUCCUGUCCAACGUUAAUCGGGGCAGGGUGAGUCGACCCCUAAGGCGAGGCCGAAAGGCGUAGUCGAUGGGAAACAGGUUAAUAUUCCUGUACUUGGUGUUACUGCGAAGGGGGGACGGAGAAGGCUAGGUUAUCCGGGCGACGGUUGUCCCGGUUUAAGCGAGUAGGCUGAUAGUUUUGGUAAAUCCGGAUUAUCUUAAGGCUGAGACGUGAUGACGAGGUUCUACGGAACUGAAGUAAUUGAUGCCAUGCUUCCAGGAAAAGCCUCUAAGCUCUAGGUAACAUUGAAUCGUACCCCAAACCGACACAGGUGAUCAGGUAGAGAAUACCAAGGCGCUUGAGAGAACUCGGGUGAAGGAACUAGGCAAAAUGGUGCCGUAACUUCGGGAGAAGGCACGCUGGUGCGUAGGUGAAAGGACUUGCUCCUGGAGUUGAAACCAGUCGAAGAUACCAGCUGGCUGCAACUGUUUAUUAAAAACACAGCACUGUGCAAACACGAAAGUGGACGUAUACGGUGUGACGCCUGCCCGGUGCUGGAAGGUUAAUUGAUGGGGUUAUCCGUAAGGAGAAGCUCUUGAUCGAAGCCCCAGUAAACGGCGGCCGUAACUAUAACGGUCCUAAGGUAGCGAAAUUCCUUGUCGGGUAAGUUCCGACCUGCACGAAUGGCGUAAUGAUGGCCAGGCUGUCUCCACCCGAGACUCAGUGAAAUUGAAAUCGCUGUGAAGAUGCAGUGUACCCGCGGCAAGACGGAAAGACCCCGUGAACCUUUACUAUAGCUUGACACUGAACAUUGAGCCUUGAUGUGUAGGAUAGGUGGGAGGCUUUGAAGCGUGGACGCUAGUCUGCGUGGAGCCAACCUUGAAAUACCACCCUUUAAUGUUUGAUGUUCUAACGUAGACCCGUAAUCCGGGUUGCGGACAGUGUCUGGUGGGUAGUUUGACUGGGGCGGUCUCCUCCCAAAGAGUAACGGAGGAGCACGAAGGUUAGCUAAUCACGGUCGGACAUCGUGAGGUUAGUGCAAAGGCAUAAGCUAGCUUGACUGCGAGAGUGACAGUUCGAGCAGGUGCGAAAGCAGGUCUUAGUGAUCCGGUGGUUCUGAAUGGAAGGGCCAUCGCUCAACGGAUAAAAGGUACUCCGGGGAUAACAGGCUGAUACCGCCCAAGAGUUCAUAUCGACGGCGGUGUUUGGCACCUCGAUGUCGGCUCAUCACAUCCUGGGGCUGAAGUAGGUCCCAAGGGUACGGCUGUUCGCCGUUUAAAGUGGUACGCGAGCUGGGUUUAGAACGUCGUGAGACAGUUCGGUCCCUAUCUGCCGUGGGCGUUGGAGAAUUGAGGGGGGUUGCUCCUAGUACGAGAGGACCGGAGUGAACGCACCACUGGUGUUCGGGUUGUCAUGCCAAUGGCAUUGCCCGGUAGCUAAGUGCGGAAAAGAUAAGUGCUGAAAGCAUCUAAGCACGAAACUUGCCCCGAGAUGAGUUCUCCCUGACCCCUUGAGGGUCCUGAAGGGACGUUGAAGACUACGACGUUGAUAGGCUGGGUGUGUAAGUGCAGCGAUGCAUUGAGCUAACCAGUACUAAUGACCCGUGAGGCUUAACCUUACAACGCCAGAGGCGUUUUG
rnacentral:rRNA from 1 species